GAUGAACGCUGGCGGCGUGCUUAACACAUGCAAGUCGAACGGAAAGGCUCCUGCUUGCAGGGGUACUCGAGUGGCGAACGUGUGAGUAACACGUGGGUGAUCUGCCCUGCACUUCGGGAUAAGCCUGGGAAACUGGGUCUAAUACCGGAUAGGACGAUGGUUUGGAUGCCAUUGUGGAAAGUUUUUCGGUGUGGGAUGAGCUCUCGGCCUAUCAGCUUGUUGUUGGGGUAAUGGCCUACCAAGGCGUCGACGGGUAGCCGUCCUGAGAGGGUGUACGGCCACAAUGGGACUGAGAGACGGACCAGACUCCUACGGGAGGCAGCAGGGGGGAAUAUUGCACAAUGGGCGCAAGCCUGAUGCAGAGACGCCGCGUGGGGGAUGAAGGCCUUCGGGUUGUAAACACCUUUCGCUAGGGACGAAGCGCAAGUGACGGUACCUGGAGAAGAAGCACCGGCUAACUACGUG
rnacentral:rRNA from 1 species